UACGUAGGGUGCGAGCGUUAAUCGGAAUUACUGGGCGUAAAGCGUGCGCAGGCGGUUUUGUAAGCCAGAUGUGAAAUCCCCGGGCUUAACCUGGGAAUGGCAUUUGGGACUGCAAGGCUUGAGUGCGGCAGAGGAGACUGGAAUUCCUGGUGUAGCAGUGAAAUGCGUAGAUAUCAGGAGGAACACCGGUGGCGAAGGCAGGUCUCUGGGCUGACACUGACGCUCAUGCACGAAAGCGUGGGGAGCAAACAGG
rnacentral:rRNA from 1 species